rfam:Desulfosporosinus orientis DSM 765, complete genome.
UAGGCAGACAGUAAAAUACCCGAUGCUCAAGCUGCUCAUGAAAAAACUCUGACAGGUCUCCUCGCUGCCCAGGGCGGCGCGAAUCUGAUCUAUGGAGCGG